UCCAGCAGGGGAUUGCCUCAGUACGGCGAGUGAAGCGGCAAAAGCUCAAAUUUGAAAUCUAGCACCUUCGGUGUUCGAGUUGUAAUUUGAAGAUGGUAACCUUGGGUUUGGCUCUUGUCUAUGUUCCUUGGAACAGGACGUCAUAGAGGGUGAGAAUCCCGUCUGAUGAGAUGCCCAUUCCUAUGUAAGGUGCUAUCGAAGAGUCGAGUUGUUUGGGAAGGGAGCUCUAAGUGGGUGGUAAAUUCCAUCUAAAGCUAAAUAUUGGCGAGAGACCGAUAGCGAACAAGUACAGUGAUGGAAAGAUGAAAAGAACUUUGAAAAGAGAGUGAAAAAGUACGUGAAAUUGUUGAAAGGGAAGGGCAUUAGAUCAGACUUGGUGUUUUACGAUUAUCUUCUCUUCUUGAGUUGUGCACUCGUAUUUCACUGGGCCAGCAUCGAUUCGGAUGGCAAGAUAAUGGCAGUUGAAUGUGGCUUCACUUCGGUGGAGUGUUAUAGCUUCUGCUGAUAUUGCCUGUCUGGAUCGAGGGCUGCGUCUUUUGACUAGGAUGCUGGCGUAAUGAUCUAAUGCCGCCCGUCUGAAAAACCGGGACCAA
rnacentral:rRNA from 1 species